rnacentral:rRNA from 1 species
UACAGAGGUCUCAAGCGUUGUUCGGAAUCACUGGGCGUAAAGGGUGCGUAGGUGGCGUGGAAAGUCAGAUGUGAAAUCCGGAGGCUCAACCUCCGAAUAGCAUCCGAUACUCCCAUGCUAGAGAACUGGAGGGGGAUCUGGAAUUCUCGGUGUAGCAGUGAAAUGCGUAGAUAUCGAGAGGAACACUAGUGGCGAAGGCGAGAUCCUGGACAGUUUCUGACACUGAUGCACGAAGGCCAGGGGAGCGAACGGG